CGCUGAAAGCAUAUUAAGCGCGAAACUGACCUCAAGAUUAGAUUUCCCUAUGAGGACACAGAUAGACUAUCUGUUUGAUAGGUGCAAGGUGGAAGUGCAGUAAUGUAUGGAGCCGAAGCAUACUAAUAGUCCCAUUGCCUUUUUA
rnacentral:rRNA from 1 species